GAUGGACGCUGGCGGCGUGCCUAAUACAUGCAAGUCGAGCGAACAGACGAGGAGCUUGCUCCUCUGACGUUAGCGGCGGACGGGUGAGUAACACGUGGAUAACCUACCUAUAAGACUGGGAUAACUUCGGGAAACCGGAGCUAAUACCGGAUAAUAUAUUGAACCGCAUGGUUCAAUAGUGAAAGACGGUUUUGCUGUCACUUAUAGAUGGAUCCGCGCCGCAUUAGCUAGUUGGUAAGGUAACGGCUUACCAAGGCGACGAUACGUAGCCGACCUGAGAGGGUGAUCGGCCACACUGGAACUGAGACACGGUCCAGACUCCUACGGGAGGCAGCAGUAGGGAAUCUUCCGCAGUGGGCGAAAGCCUGACGGAGCAACGCCGCGUGAGUGAUGAAGGUCUUCGGAUCGUAAAACUCUGUUAUUAGGGAAGAACAAAUGUGUAAGUAACUAUGCACGUCUUGACGGUACCUAAUCAGAAAGCCACGGCUAACUACGUG
rnacentral:rRNA from 1 species